GUCUACGGCCAUGCCACCCUGAACAAGCCCAAUGUCUGAUCUCGGAAGCAAGGUUGGACCUGGUUAGUACUUGGAUGGGAGACCACCUAGGAAGAAUAGGUGCUAUAGCCA
rnacentral:rRNA from 1 species